rnacentral:rRNA from 1 species
GAAGAGAAAGAAAAUUCGAUUCCCUUAGUAGCGGCGAGCGAAACGGGAAGAGCCCAAACCAACAAGCUUGCUUGUUGGGGUUGUAGGACACUCUAUACGGAGUUACAAAGGACGACAUUAGACGAAUCAUCUGGAAAGAUGAAUCAAAGAAGGUAAUAAUCCUGUAGUCGAAAAUGUUGUCUCUCUUGAGUGGAUCCUGAGUACGACGGAGCACGUGAAAUUCCGUCGGAAUCUGGGAGGACCAUCUCCUAAGGCUAAAUACUCUCUAGUGACCGAUAGUGAACCAGUACCGUGAGGGAAAGGUGAAAAGCACCCCGGAAGGG